rnacentral:rRNA from 1 species
UACGUAGGGUGCGAGCGUUGUCCGGAAUUAUUGGGCGUAAAGAGCUCGUAGGCGGCCUGUUGCGUCGGAUGUGAAAGCCCGGGGCUUAACCCCGGGUCUGCAUUCGAUACGGGCAGGCUGGAGUUCGGUAGGGGAGAUCGGAAUUCCUGGUGUAGCGGUGAAAUGCGUAGAUAUCAGGAGGAACACCGGUGGCGAAGGCGGAUUUCUGGACCAGUUCUGACACUGAUGAGCGAAAGCCAGGGGAGCAAACAGG